rnacentral:rRNA from 1 species
UGGGGAAUUUUGGACAAUGGGCGCAAGCCUGAUCCAGCAAUGCCGCGUGAGUGAAGAAGGCGCUCCGGUUGUUAAGCUCUUUUGUCAGGGAAGUAACGGUAGUGGCUAAUAUCCUUAACUAAUGACGGUACCUGAAGAAUAAGCACCGGCUAACUACGUGCCAGCAGCCGCGGUAAUAGCUAGGGUGCAAGCGUUAAUCGGAAUUACUGGGCGUAAAGCGUGCGCAGGCGGUUUUGUAAGUCUGUCGUGAAAGCCAUGGGCUCAACCUGGGAAUUGCGAUGGAGACUGCAAGGCUUGAAUCUGGCAGAGGGGGGUAGAAUUCCACGUGUAUCAGUGAAAUGCGUAGAGAUGUGGAGGAACACCGAUGGCGAAGGCAGCCCCCUGGGUCAAGAUUGACGCUCAUGCACGUAAGCGUGGGGAGCAAACAGGAUUAGAUAGCCUGGUAGUCCACGCCCUAAACGAUGUCUAGUCGUUGUCGGGUUUUAAUCGACUUGUUAACGCAGCUAACGCGUGAAGUAGACCGCCUGGCGAGUACGGUCGCAAGAUA